UACGUAGGGCGCGAGCGUUGUCCGGAAUUAUUGGGCGUAAAGAGCUCGUAGGUGGCUUGUUGCGUCUGCCGUGAAAGCCCGUGGCUUAACUACGGGUCUGCGGUGGAUACGGGCAGGCUAGAGGCUGGUAGGGGCAAGCGGAAUUCCUGGUGUAGCGGUGAAAUGCGCAGAUAUCAGGAGGAACACCAGUGGCGAAGGCGGCCAUCUGGACGAGUACUGACGCUGAGACGCGAAAGCGUGGGGAGCAAACAGG
rnacentral:rRNA from 1 species